rnacentral:rRNA from 1 species
AUUGAACGCUGGCGGCAGGCCUAACACAUGCAAGUCGAGCGGAUGAAGGGAGCUUGCUCCUGGAUUCAGCGGCGGACGGGUGAGUAAUGCCUAGGGAUCUGCCUGGUAGUGGGGGAUAACGUCCGGAAACGGGCGCUAAUACCGCAUACGUCCUGAGGGAGAAAGUGGGGGAUCUUCGGACCUCACGCUAUCAGAUGAGCCUAGGUCGGAUUAGCUAGUUGGUGGGGUAAAGGCCUACCAAGGCGACGAUCCGUAACUGGUCUGAGAGGAUGAUCAGUCACACUGGAACUGAGACACGGUCCAGACUCCUACGGGAGGCAGCAGUGGGGAAUAUUGGACAAUGGGCGAAAGCCUGAUCCAGCCAUGCCGCGUGUGUGAAGAAGGUCUUCGGAUUGUAAAGCACUUUAAGUUGGGAGGAAGGGCAGUAAGUUAAUACCUUGCUGUUUUGACGUUACCGACAGAAUAAGCACCGGCUAACUUCGUG